UACGAAGGGGGCUAGCGUUGUUCGGAAUUACUGGGCGUAAAGCGUGCGCAGGCGGCCAUUUAAGUCAGGGGUGAAAGCCUGGGGCUCAACCCCAGAACUGCCCUUGAGACUGGAUGGCUGGAGUGCGGGAGAGGUGAGUGGAAUUCCCAGUGUAGAGGUGAAAUUCGUAGAGAUUGGGUAGAACACCCGUGGCGAAGGCGGCUCACUGGCCCGUAACUGACGAUCAGGCACGAUAGAGUGGGGAGCAAACAGG
rnacentral:rRNA from 1 species